GGGCGCGCGGCCUCGCCGGUUUGAAUGGAAGGAUCCCGAGCGGCGGGGGCGGCGGCUCGCAGGUCCUGAAGCCAGCACUCGUCCUCCCCCACCCCGCGCCCGAGACAUGCGGCGGGAGAGGUGCGGCGUCCCCCGCCCUCGUCCCCGCCAUGGAGGUGCUGCGGCGCUCCUCGGUCCUCGCCGCCGAGAUCAUGGACGCCUUUGACCGCUCGCCCACCGACAAGGAGCUGGUGGCCCAGGCCAAGGCGCUCGGCCGCGAGUUCGUGCACGCGCGGCUGCUACGCGCUGGCCUCUCCUGGAGCGCGCCCGAGCGCGCCGCGCCGGUCCCCGGCGGCCGCCUGGCGGAGGUGUGCGCCGUGCUGCUGCGCCUGGCGGACGAGCUGGAGCUGAUCCGGCCCAGCGUCUACCGCAACGUGGCCCGCCAGCUGAACCUCUCCUUGCAGUCGGAGACCGUGGUGACCGACGCCUUCCUGGCCGUGGCGACCCAGAUCUUCUCUGCAGGCAUCACGUGGGGCAAGGUUGUGUCUCUGUACUCGGUGGCCGCGGGGCUGGCCGUGGACUGUGUGCGGCAGGCCCAGCCCGCCCUGGUGCACGCCCUCGUCGACUGUCUCGGGGAGUUUGUACGGAAGACACUGGCAACCUGGCUGCGGAGGCGUGGUGGAUGGACAGACGUGCUCAAGUGUGUGGUCAGCACCGACCCAGGCCUGCGCUCUCACUGGCUGGUGGCCGCGCUCUGCAGCUUUGGCCGCUUCCUGAAGGCUGCCUUCUUCAUGCUGUUGCCGGAGAGAUGAGAUGCUGGCUCAGGCAGGAGCCCAGGGGGCCCUCCGCCCCACCCCAGCUGGGAAGACCCUCGGAGCCGCCCCUGAGUGGACGCUGGAGGCCCUGCCCUGAGCCCCUCCUCCAAAGCCCAGGCCCUCUGCACAGAGGCGUGAGGGUCUCCCCCAGGCCUGGAGCUGGGCUUCAGUGCCGACCCUUCUGCCUUGCUGCCCCUGGAAGCCCUGCCCGCCCCGUUCUUCCUGGGCCAGAAGGCUGCACCGCGUCCCGGCCCUGA
rnacentral:lncRNA from 1 species